AAUCAACGCUGGCGGCGUGCCUAACACAUGCAAGUCGAACGCGAAAGCCCCGCAAGGGGUAAGUAGAGUGGCAAACGGGUGAGUAACACGUGGGUGACCUGCCUCAGAGUGGGGGAUAACGACCCGAAAGGGUCGCUAAUACCGCAUAACAUCCUGCGUUUGGAGACGCGGAGAUCAAAGCCGGGGAUCGCAAGACCUGGCGCUUGGAGAGGGGCCCGCGGCCGAUUAGCUAGUUGGGGGGUAAUGGCUCACCAAGGCGACGAUCGGUAUCCGGCCUGAGAGGGGCGGACGGACACACUGGGACUGAGACACGGCCCAGACUCCUACGGGAGGCAGCAGUGGGGAAUUGUUCGCAAUGGGCGCAAGCCUGACGACGCAACGCCGCGUGGAGGAUGAAGACC
rnacentral:rRNA from 1 species